ensembl:snRNA U4 U4 spliceosomal RNA
AGCUUUGCGCAGUGGCGGUAUCGUAGCCAAUGAGGUUUAUCCGAGGCGCGAUUAUUGCUAAUUGAAAACUUUUCCUAAUAGAAUGCCUUCCUGCAAGCCUUCCUGGGACAGUGCUGUUUAUCUGCUGAUGGCUUUCCUCAUUGCAGAAGGCAAUGAAGAGGUUGUGUUUU